rnacentral:lncRNA from 1 species
AUAAUUGCCAAGUGCCGCAGGCUUGGAAAACCUUUGAACUCCUCAAGGUAUUAGGGGACGGCAGAAAGGAUAUUAUCUGAUUUCUCUUCCUUCUCCAGUUCAGUUUUCAGGUUGAAGGUGCCCCAUUUCCCCUCCAGAGGGGUCUGCCUUCCUAAAGGUACACCGUGCCCUCCCGUUCUUCCAGGUUGCCCACUGUACACUCCGAAGAGAACCGUGACGAACUUGCCCUCUUGGGUCUUGAGUUGCCCAGAUGCGGAUGAAAGCGAACAUUUUUAUAAUCCUCCCCUCCUCACCACAUUUAGUUCCCUGGUGUUGAACAUGUGGGCUUGAUUAAAGGAGAGAAAGAGCCACGGAGAGGAGUUAGAUUCUCCAUCCCCUCCUUCCCCUCAGCCACCAAGGCCCCAAGCGUGGAGGGCAGGGCCCGGACCUCGUCGUCUCAUCGUGGUGUGUCUAUCAGAGGACUCAACACGUCAUG